rnacentral:lncRNA from 1 species
GAAGCAAAGUCAAUGAAGGACUUUCGGCACGGAAAAAGAUAUGAUGGAAUAUACAGAUCAACGCUUUGGCGCUGGCGAGGCAGAUGGAUUGGAGGUGUCGAGAGACGGAAAGGCCAGUUAGGAGACUAUUGACACAUCCAGGUGAGAGAUUUGCUUGAACUAAGGUGGUGACAGUGGGUAUGGAUUGGGGAGAGUAUUGAUGAAUGAAAUAUUUUGAAAGCAAAACCGGCAGGGCUUGGAGAUGGUGGGGGAUAAGGUGGCUGGAGGGGUCGUGAGUGACGCACGAUUCUCAGGCUUGGGGAUGAUGUAGAUGCUGGAGACAAUCCAUCAAAUUCUGGGAACGAAGGGGGAAGAGGAAGCUGAGGGUAAAGCUGGGGAAGAUAAUAUGAGAUGGUUUCCUAGAAUCGAUUGAAUUUGAGAGAAAUCUAUAGGAAAUUCAUAGAAAGACAUGGAGCAUGAGGCUUAUAACUUAUUUUUAUCCUUUGCAGUUUUAUAUCUAUGAGAAAAGUCUUGGAUAGCACUAAAGAUUUGGAAACCAUACAUAGCUGGGUGUUAAUUAAAACCAUGGGAGUGGAUAUUAUAUUGUUAGAAAAGAACAAAUGAAGACUGUAGAAAAAAAGAAGGUGGAUGAUGGACAGUAAGAGACACUGAGAUGCGGGUGCAGGGGGAGGGUCCUGCAAUCACAGAGGAGCAGAGAAAGAGUUCCUGCUGCAGCUCAGCAGGCUGAGAACCCAACUGGUAUCCAUGAGGAUGCAAGUUCGAUCCCUGGCCUCGCUCAGUGGCUCAAGGAUCCGGCAUUGCCAUGAGCUGUGGUGUAGGUCGCAGAUGUGGUUCAGAUCCCAAGAUGCUGUGGCUGUGGUGUAGGCCAGCUGCUACAGCUCUGAUUGGACCCCUAGCCUGGGAACCUCCAUAUGCCGCAGGUGUGGCCCUAAAAGGAAAAAAUAAAACAAAACAAAGGAGCAGAGAAGUGGAAGAGCCAGGAAGGACUUGCACCACACAAAGCCAAAAAAAUUCAUAAGUGGCCACUGUGACUUUUUACACCGCUGUUAGCAGCCUAGUGUAUCUGAAGUUGCCCUGAUUAAAAGACUCUUUCUCGAUAUGUUUACCAAGCCAUAUUUCUGGAUCUAGCAGGCCACCCAUCAGCAUGGAUGCCAGUUCUGUCUUCCUCCAUGAGGUUUGCUUUUAUUUUUUAAUUUUUUGGCUACACCUGCGACAUGUGGAAGUUCCCGGGCCAGGGAUCAAACACAUGCUACAGUAGUGACCCAAGCUGCUGCAGUGACAAUGCAGGAUCUGCAACCCACUGUACCACCUCUGAGGCUUACUUUUAAAGUUCCACAUCAGGGCUCUCAAAUUCAAACUUUCCAGACAAAGCUGGGAGCAAAAGUGUGUGAAGUAGGUUGGGCAUGAGAUAACACUAUAGAUAGUGGGGUCUGUGGGCACCUGUUAAAGAUGUCCAAAUGGCUUAAAAGCAAGAGAUGGAGCAGACUGGAUUUGGAGGAACACCACACACGUUGACCUCUGACCUGUAGAGCAACUGUGUGGCAAUGUACAGUGUAUUUACAGAUUGCUUCAUUUGACUCUGACCACAGCAUUUGGAGGUAGGUAUUACCAGUGUGCCCAUCUUACAGUACACUCGCUCUGUCUUCAAGACAUCGAGUGACUUGCAUAAGGUCUUAGAGCCAAUGUAUCCUUUAAUGAACCCAGGCCUUGGCCCUGACCCCGAUUCUAUUCUCUCUUCCACACCACAUCAUGGUGGCAUCCACAGUGAGUGCAGGGAGAAAAAGGUGAGAAGUUUUUCUGAGCAAAGGAAGAGCUAUUUUGGUUACUGAAUCUAAAAAUACCAGAAUCCAAGCGACCUACAAAAAACACCAAGAAGCCCGCCUCUGGCCAAGUUCCAAAUGUCAGGGCACAGAACAGGGAGGAAGUGACACCAGGCAGCGAGGGCUCCUGCUGUCAGGGCAGCCCUGGUGCACAUCUGUCUGAAACUUCUGGAGUGAGCCUAGCCAGAGAGGCUGCAGACUGAAGAGCUCAAAUGCUUUUCAGUCUCUCAUUGUUACAGCUGUUUAGGAAACUCCCAGAGAGAGGCUGAUGGAGGGGACAUGGAGACUUUGAAAUUACCAGGUCAUUUCCAAAGCUGAUGGCCAGCCACCUCUCUCUCUCCUUCCUCCUCUCUCCUUCUUUCCUUUUCUCCCUGUCUCCCCCAUGGCCACUCUUUCUGCCUGUAUCACCCCGUACUCAAGCACUCUAAGGAUGGACCACUUCUGGAUGUCACUAUGCAAAGCACAAGGAAAACUCUUCAGUCUGGAAUGCCAGGAUUGAGCAGCUCUAAGUCUUUCUGCUUAGGUAGAUAUGGAGGUUAAUGAAAGGAAUAUUGUUCUUUCUUAAGCCUGCUCCCCGCCUCUCUGCCCACCAUUAAGGCUGUGGCAGUGGCUCACAGUUUGGAGGACUCUUCAAUUCCAUUUGAAAGGGAAGGUUAAAAGCAACUGGUGAACGAGAAAUUCUCUCUAGAGACCCCCUGCCUUGGGCUGAACUGGAGUUCAGG